UGAUUUCCAUAGAUGGCUGUGACAUAUGUUACCCAAUUGAUCAACAGGGUUGAUUUAGCUGAUUUGGCUGGCUCGGUGGGUGCCCCCUUCCUCCUUCACCACUCCAUGUGAGUUCCUCUCCAAGUUGCAUGCUUUGUUGAAGAGAACAACCAUUGACGCAAGAGGAGGACGGUCUUUGGUGAAGGGUAUAUGAGUAGCCACACUCCCCUGCUAGAACCUCCAAACAAGUUCAGGAUUAGUUCUUUAUUAGAAAACAUAGGAAAACUUGACUUCUCUCUCAGCUCUUUUCCGUGUGAGUAUACAACAAG
rnacentral:snRNA from 1 species